rnacentral:lncRNA from 10 species
AGUGUUCUGAGCAUGAUGCCAGUGUCUAAAAACACACAUUUCCCCUACAACCCUGACCCUAAACAAGGCCAGCUGCUUCUUCUGGGGCUCAGCCAAGAAGCUGUGAUUUUUCCCACACUGGAGGAGAGACAGACUGUCUUGGGCUUACUGAGAGUUCAUGUAUCUGUAUGAGGUCAUCUGUAUAAACCAAUACAUGCUGCACUUAAUCAUCAAUUUGAGGGAUUUCUAACGGUAACUCUGGUCUCCUGCACUUUUUACUUCCUUUACAGCCUAAUAUCUAGGUGAGAUGUGGCUCUACCAUAAUCCCAUUUCAGUGUGAGAGCAGUGACAAUGCCAGGCUUUUCAGCUUUCCUCUUAGCCACAGAACUCUUUCUUCAAAUUUGACUUAUGUUAGAGCCAAGUAUAUUGAAUAAGCAAAGGCUGAGCUCCAAACCUGUUCAAAAUAAGAAUUCCACUACCUCAAAUAGUGUCCUCUUUAGGAGUACUGAUGGAACAAACUACCCUAAGAACUAAAUACCAGGAAUAGCUGGUAAUCUGAUCUUUAUUAAAUGGACCCAGUGACAUGCAUUUUUUGUAUGAACGCAUGCUUCUUUGCCAUGGUGGCCAGGAAGCUCAGUGUUACAGCUGUGACUACUUUAGGCAUUCAUUUGUUCACCCCCUGGUUUCAUCUUAUUUUUCUACUCUUGUUUUCUCUCUAGUUUCAUUUUCUUAAAUUUUUUAUUUAUUUAUUUUUGGACAGAGUCUCGAUCUGUUGCCCAGGCUGGAGUACAGUGGUCCAAUCUCAGCUCACUGCAACCUCUGCCCCUCGGGUUCAAGCAAUUCUCCUGCCUCAGCUUCCCGAGUAGCUGGGAUUACAGGAAAACAAUUGUUUCAUGUAAGACGCUGAGCGCAAGCAAGUUGGGCAUUCUGUUCAGGCAUUUGUUCAUCAUUCAUUCACUUACUCAUUCAACAAAUGUCUACGGAACUACUUUGUGCAGUUUGGGAUUAGAGAUGUGAAUAAUGCAGGCGACGAAACAAGUUUGCUGAGAGUCAUGGUGUGCCCAGCACCACAUUUUGGUAAGUACAUAAAAGAUUCUAGGACAUGCACAGGUUUUCAAAUUUUAAUGUUUCCUGGCUAGGCAGCCAGGCGGUGGCUCACACCUGUAAUCCCGGUGCUUUGGGAGGCUGUGGUGGGGGAACUGCUUGAGCCCAGGAGAUAAAGACCAGCCUAGGUAACAUAGUGAGACCCUGUCUCUAGCAAAAAAUGAACAAAAUAGGCUGGGUACAGUGGCUCACGCCUCUAAUCCCAGCACUUUAGGAGGCCAAGACGGGUGGAUCACCUGAAGUCAGGAGUUUGAGACCAGCCUGGCCAACAUGGUGAAACUCUGUCUUUACCAAAAAUACAAAAAUUAGCUGUGUACGGUGGCAAGCACCUGUAAUCCCAGCUACUUGGAAGGCUGAGGCAUGAGAAUUGCUUGAACCCAGAAGAUGGAGGUUGCAGUGAGCUGAGAUUGUGCCACUGACUCCAGCCUGGGGGGCAGAGCAAGACUUCGUUCCCCGCCCCACCCUCCCUCUGCAAAAAAAGCCAGAUGUGUUGGCACGUGCUUGUAGUCCCAGCUACUCUGGAGGCUGUGGCAGGAGGAUCCCUCCCAGGAAUUUGAGACUGCAGUGAGUUAUGAUAGUGCCACUGCACUUCAGCCCGGGUGACAGGGCAAGACCUUAUCUCAGAAAAAACCAACAAAACAAAACAUGAAAAAUGUCAAGAAAUUCAAAUUCUCUCUUCUCACUUUAUGCCCCAGUAUCACUCGAACUGUGCUGGCAUCAGCUGUUCUGUGGCCUGGU